rnacentral:snRNA from 1 species
GUGCUUGCUUUGGCAGCAUAUAUACUAAAAAUUGGAAUGACACAGAGAUUAGCAUGGCCCCUGCUCAAGGAUGACAUGUACAUUCAUGAAGUGUUCCAUUUUUUU